GUAACCUUACCUGGUCUUGACAUCCCGAGAAUUUUCUGGAAACAGAGAAGUGCCUCGCAAGAGGAAUUCGGAGACAGGUGCUGCAUGGCUGUCGUCAGCUCGUGUCGUGAGAUGUUGGGUUAAGUCCCGCAACGAGCGCAACCCUUGUCUUUAGUUGCCAUCAUUAAGUUGGGCACUCUAAAGAGACUGCCGGUGUCAAACCGGAGGAAGGUGGGGAUGACGUCAAGUCCUCAUGGCCUUUAUGACCAGGGCUACACACGUACUACAAUGGCAGGUACAAAGGGCAGCCACUUAGCGAUAAGGCGCGAAUCCCGUAAAACCUGUCUCAGUCCGGAUUGGAGUCUGCAACUCGACUCCAUGAAGUUGGAAUCGCUAGUAAUCGCGGAUCAGCAUGUCGCGGUGAAUACGUUCCCGGGUCUU
rnacentral:rRNA from 1 species